rnacentral:siRNA from 1 species
CCCUGGUGGCGAUGAUACGCUU